rnacentral:rRNA from 3 species
UUUCCAGAGAUGGAUUGGUGCCUUCGGGAACUGUGAGACAGGUGCUGCAUGGCUGUCGUCAGCUCGUGUUGUGAAAUGUUGGGUUAAGUCCCGCAACGAGCGCAACCCUUAUCCUUUGUUGCCAGCGAUUAGGUCGGGAACUCAAAGGAGACUGCCAGUGAUAAACUGGAGGAAGGUGGGGAUGACGUCAAGUCAUCAUGGCCCUUACGACCAGGGCUACACACGUGCUACAAUGGCGCAUACAAAGAGAAGCGACCUCGC